rnacentral:lncRNA from 1 species
AAUGACCCCCAUAAAAUGUUGAUGUAAUUCUGCCGCAGCAGUGAAAGGCUAUAGAAAAUGGUGAGGAUUUUCUUCAUGCUGAGGCUGCAUUUGGUAGUGAAUGUUUCUUAUUCUUUUGCUCUAGAUAAAACAAUCAACACUUAGAGAAGACAACACAGUGUUUAAUGGAUGAUGUAACUGAAGAUUUAUCGUGUAAUUCAGUUGCCUGCAUGCACCUUGAAGCUCUGAAGUGAAUGCACAGGACAUCUGCCCAUGGAGCUGGUUUGGGGCUGUCUUCUCUGAGGGCAGAUACAGCUUUUAAAGAGAGAAAUACUUCGGGAUAGAUGCAGACCUGUUGUCAUUAGGGGUAAGUUCUGAGCUCCCGUCCAUAGUUACAUCUAUCGCGUUUAUCCUCUAAC